UCAAGAGACCCAUGAGAUGCCAUUUUU
rnacentral:piRNA from 1 species